GCCAGGCAUGGUGAUAUGUGCCUGUAAUCCAAGUGACUUGGGAGGCUGAAACAGGAGGAUCACAAGUUUGAGUACAGCUUCAGCAACUUAGUGAGACCCUGUCUCAA
rnacentral:sRNA from 1 species